UCUUCGGAGAGUUUGAUCCUGGCUCAGGAUGAACGCUGGCGGCGUGCCUAAUACAUGCAAGUCGAGCGAACUGAUUAGAAGCUUGCUUCUAUGACGUUAGCGGCGGACGGGUGAGUAACACGUGGGCAACCUGCCUGUAAGACUGGGAUAACUUCGGGAAACCGAAGCUAAUACCGGAUAGGAUCUUCUCCUUCAUGGGAGAUGAUUGAAAGAUGGUUUCGGCUAUCACUUACAGAUGGGCCCGCGGUGCAUUAGCUAGUUGGUGAGGUAACGGCUCACCAAGGCAACGAUGCAUAGCCGACCUGAGAGGGUGAUCGGCCACACUGGGACUGAGACACGGCCCAGACUCCUACGGGAGGCAGCAGUAGGGAAUCUUCCGC
rnacentral:rRNA from 2 species